UACGUAGGGGGCUAGCGUUGUCCGGAAUCAUUGGGCGUAAAGCGCGUGUAGGCGGUCCGGUAAGUCCGCUGUGAAAGUCGGGGGCUCAACCCUCGAAUGCCGGUGGAUACUGUCGGGCUAGAGUGCGGAAGAGGCGAGUGGAAUUCCUGGUGUAGCGGUGAAAUGCGCAGAUAUCAGGAGGAACACCGGUGGCGAAGGCGGGUCUCUGGGCCGAUACUGACGCUGGAGGAGCGAAAGCGUGGGGAGCGAACAGG
rnacentral:rRNA from 1 species